rnacentral:rRNA from 1 species
GACGAACGCUGGCGGCGUGCUUAACACAUGCAAGUCGAACGGAAAGACCCUGCUUUUGUGGGGUGCUCGAGUGGCGAACGGGUGAGUAACACGUGAGUAACCUGCCCUUGACUUUGGGAUAACUUCAGGAAACUGGGGCUAAUACCGGAUAGGAGCUCCUGCUGCAUGGUAGGUGUUGGAAAGUUUCGGCGGUUGGGGAUGGACUCGCGGCUUAUCAGCUUGUUGGUGGGGUAGUGGCUUACCAAGGCUCUGACGGGUAGCCGGCCUGAGAGGGUGACCGGCCACAUUGGGACUGAGAUACGGCCCAGACUCAUACGGGGGCAGCAGUGGGGAAUAUUGCACAAUGGGCGGAAGCCUGAUGCAGCAACGCCGCGUGCGGGAUGACGGCCUUCGGGUUGUAAACCGCUUUCGACUGUGACGAAGCGUGAGUGACGGUAAUGGGUAAAGAAGCACCGGCUAACUACGUG